CAGGCCUAACACAUGCAAGUCGAACGGAAAGGCUCCAGCUUGCUGGAGUACUCGAGUGGCGAACGGGUGAGUAACACGUGGGUAAUCUGCCCUGCACUCUGGGAUAAGCCUGGGAAACUGGGUCUAAUACUGGAUAUGACCUUUCUCCUUAUGGGGUUUGGUGGAAAGUUUUUCGGUGUAGGAUGAGCCCGCGGCCUAUCAGCUUGUUGGUGGGGUGAUGGCCUACCAAGGCGACGACGGGUAGCCGGCCUGAGAGGGUGAUCGGCCACAUUGGGACUGAGAUACGGCCCAGACUCCUACGGGAGGCAGCAGUGGGGAAUAUUGCACAAUGGGCGGAAGCCUGAUGCAGCGACGCCGCGUGAGGGAUGACGGCCUUCGGGUUGUAAACCUCUUUCAGCAGGGACGAAGCGUAAGUGACGGUACCUGCAGAAGAAGCACCGGCUAACUACGUGCCAGCAGCCGCGGUAAUACGUAGGGUGCGAGCGUUGUCCGGAAUUACUGGGCGUAAAGAGCUCGUAGGCGGUUUGUCACGUCGUCUGUGAAAUCCUAGGGCUUAACCCUGGACGUGCAGGCGAUACGGGCUGACUUGAGUACUACAGGGGAGACUGGAAUUUCUGGUGUAGCGGUGGAAUGCACAGAUAUCAGGAAGAACACCGAUGGCGAAGGCAGGUCUCUGGGUAGUAACUGACGCUGAGGAGCGAAAGCAUGGGUAGCGAACAGGAUUAGAUACCCUGGUAGUCCAUGCCGUAA
rnacentral:rRNA from 1 species